UCCAUUGUUAACCUUGUGAACACAUACUAAUUCUCACGCCUGAGCUAUCCCCCGACGGAACCGCCGUCAAGCUUUCGGUGUUGACUGUGUUUACUGUGCAGGAUCAGGACGUCUUACGUGAUUGGGACGUGGAGAAAGAUCUUGGCGUUAACAUUGGCGCUAGAAGGAGGGCUUUGAGUUCUAGUGUCAUUAAAAUUUUCAAUCACAAUCGUUUAACCUACUUUGGAAAAUGAUG
rnacentral:lncRNA from 1 species